rnacentral:lncRNA from 1 species
AAAGUGUAAAGUUUGGUGUGUGUGAUCAGAUUAUAGACAGAAUAACAGUGUAAAGUUUGGUGUGUGUGAUCAGAAUAUAAACAGAAUAAAAGUGUAAAGUUUGGUGUGUGUGAUCAGAUUAUAGACAGAAUAAAAGUGUAAAGUUUGGUGUGUGUGAUCAGAUUAUAGACAGAAUAAAAGUGUAAAGUUUGGUGUGUGUGAUCAGAUUAUAGACAGAAUAAAAGUGUAAAGUUUGGUGUGUGAUCAGAAUAUAGACAGAAUAAAAGUGUAAAGUUUGAUGUGUGUGUGAUCAGAAUAUAGAUAUUAAUAAAAUUCCUUCUAUCUGCUUUGUCUCUCUAUCUCAGUGUCUAUCAGUGGAGGAUCUGCAGCAGGUCUUGAGGAACUACAACAGUUCUCAGGGUGUCCAGUUGCAGGAUUUCUUCACGUUGACUCAUGCAUGCUGUUUAUUUCUGAGCGAUCCGAUCGAGACCUGUAAAGCCAUACGAGAUGGCCGAUGGGGAACAGAGACGCAAAACUUCAUCGAAUACCUCUAUGGCCACAAUCACGAUCAUAACUUCACCACCGAUUAUCCUCCUCAUGGAGACCUCACUGAAUAUGAGGGUGUGGAGAAGAUGUUUUACGAUAUGGAGGAGCACUAUCAGCCUGACACUCAGCAGGCUUGUCUGUCUAUGAAGGACGUCCUGGAAGAGAGCAGCUACCCUCACGGAGACCACAUUCACACAGAACUGGACGCUGUGCUGGGAAAUGUUCUUUAUCAUGCCCUGCGCGGAGACUGUAUGAAAGCACACCACCUUCCUGAAUCACAGUACUUCCUGGACUACAUUUUCGGCCAUUUUGGCUCAAACAGUCUCACUCUUCACGAUUUUGAGGAGCUUCUGCAUAGGUUAAAUCUGGGUGGAGAAGAGCAUGAAGAUCACGAAGACCAUCCUCAUCCUCAUCAUCAUCUCAGAGAAAGCCAGCAGAGCAACAGCAGCUGGGACUCGGUAAACAUUCACACUUCCACACUGAUUCCUGUCUGCUGAAACACAUAUAAUAACAGUGACAGAUUACAGACGGCUUCACUUGUUGAUGUUGGGUUUUCAUUUGUUGGUAAAGAUCUGGAAUAUAGUGAUCGCACGGC